rnacentral:rRNA from 1 species
UAAGGAAUAUUGGACAAUGGUCGCAAGACUGAUCCAGCCAUGCCGCGUGCAGGAUGACUGCCCUAUGGGUUGUAAACUGCUUUUGUACGGGAAUAAACCCCUCUACGUGUAGAGGGCUGAAUGUACCGUAAGAAUAAGGAUCGGCUAACUUCGUGCCAGCAGCCGCGGUAAGACGAAGGAUCCAAGCGUUAUCCGGAUUUAUUGGGUUUAAAGGGUGCGUAGGCGGAUUGAUAAGUCAGUGGUGAAAGCCUGUUGCUUAACAACAGAACUGCCAUUGAUACUGUCAAUCUUGAAUAUGUUUGAUGUGGGCGGAAUAUGACAUGUAGCGGUGAAAUGCUUAGAUAUGUCAUAGAACACCGAUUGCGAAGGCAGCUCACAAAGCCAUUAUUGACGCUGAGGCACGAAAGCGUGGGGAUCAAACAGGAUUAGAUACCCCCGUAGUCC